rnacentral:lncRNA from 1 species
GUUGAAUUUUGAGGAAUUUCAAGCAUAUCAUAUAAUGUUCUCCGCUAUGUAACCUGUUGAAUUUUGAACAUUUCCAAUUCUAUUCUUUUUUUUAAAUGAUGCCAUCUUGUUCUAAGAAAAUCUUUACACAAAUGCUUUGCAAAACAUUAUACUUUGUAUGGCAAUAAAUUUUCAUGGUGGACCAGAGGGAUAGUUUUAGACAAGUUAUUAAUCCCAAUGUUGAUCUAAAAAUUAAGCUUAGGGUACCAUAAGGAUCUUCAAAGAAUGGAUCUUCAUGGAAGUUCUGACCAAAAUUUUACAGCAAGGAACUGAAUUUGACAUGCUUGCAGAAACUGUGUUAGCAGAUAGAUAU